GACGAACGCUGGCGGCGUGCUUAACACAUGCAAGUCGAACGGAAAGGCCCUGCUUUUGUGGGGUGCUCGAGUGGCGAACGGGUGAGUAACACGUGAGUAACCUGCCCUUGACCUUGGGAUAACUUCAGGAAACUGGGGCUAAUACCGGAUAGGAGCUCCUGCUGCAUGGUGGGGGUUGGAAAGUUUCGGCGGUUGGGGAUGGACUCGCGGCUUAUCAGCUUGUUGGUGGGGUAGUGGCUUACCAAGGCUUUGACGGGUAGCCGGCCUGAGAGGGUGACCGGACACAUUGGGACUGAGAUACGGCCCAGACUCCUACGGGAGGCAGCAGUGGGGAAUAUUGCACAAUGGGCGGAAGCCUGAUGCAGCAACGCCGCGUGCGGGAUGACGGCCUUCGGGUUGUAUACCGCUUUCGCCUGUGACGAAGCGUGAGUGACGGUAAUGGGUAAAGAAGCACCGGCUAACUACGUG
rnacentral:rRNA from 1 species